AUUGAACGCUGGCGGCAGGCCUAACACAUGCAAGUCGAGCGGAUGAAGGGAGCUUGCUCCUGGAUUCAGCGGCGGACGGGUGAGUAAUGCCUAGGAAUCUGCCUGGUAGUGGGGGAUAACGUCCGGAAACGGGCGCUAAUACCGCAUACGUCCUGAGGGAGAAAGUGGGGGAUCUUCGGACCUCACGCUAUCAGAUGAGCCUAGGUCGGAUUAGCUAGUUGGUGGGGUAAAGGCCUACCAAGCCGACGAUCCGUAACUGGUCUGAGAGGAUGAUCAGUCACACUGGAACUGGGACACGGUCCAGACUCCUACGGGAGGCAGCAGUGGGGAAUAUUCGACAAUGGGCGAAAGCCUGAUCCAGCCAUGCCGCGUGUGUGAAGAAGGUCUUCGGAUUGUAAAGCACUUUAAGUUGGGAGGAAGGGCAGUAAGUUAAUACCUUGCUGUUUUGACGUUACCAACAGAAUAAGCACCGGCUAACUUCGUG
rnacentral:rRNA from 1 species